CUCCUGGUAGCCAAACUGUCCCUGGGAAGCUCACAGAAAUGGACACAAACAGUGGUUCCAAACCAGGACCAUUCUCACAACGUGCCGUUCACCAUUUCCGUCUCCCAGAAGAUCACCUUACCUCUGCAUCAUGACUGGAAAGGAAGCAGGAGGAACCCUGCCGACUCCCCCAACCUGCACACAUAUGUGUAACUGCUGUCUUAC
rnacentral:lncRNA from 1 species